AGUGGUUAAGCGUUUGGCUGCUAACCAAAAUGUUGGUGGUUCAAAUCCACCAGCCACCC
rnacentral:tRNA from 1 species